rnacentral:tRNA from 1 species
GCCGGGAUGGCUGAGUGGAUAAAGCGCAGGCCUUGAGAGCCUGUGGCCCUGUGGGCCGCAUGGGUUCGAAUCCCAUUCCCGGCGCCA